rnacentral:rRNA from 1 species
GGAGUUAGGAAAUGUAGACUCGCUAAUAUCGGGUCUAUUUGACAAAGGCUCCAAAGGAAGCCACGGCUAACUCUGUGCCAGCAGCCGCGGUAAUACAGAGGUGGCAAGCGUUGUUCGGAAUUAUUGGGCGUAAAGAGCACGUAGGUGGAUUUGUAAGCCAGACGUGAAAGCCUUCUGUUCAACGGAAGAAUUGCAUCUGAAACUACAAACCUUGAGUGUAGGAGGGGAGAGUGGAACUUCUGGU